GCCUGCGCCCCAGCCCCUUGGUGGGCCCGCGACCCCGGCCGGGCCUUAGCUGCUGCUUCAGCCGGUGCGGCGCUGAGGAGCACCCGAGGAAUCUGCGGGAGCCGAGCGUGUCCCCAGCUCAAGAGGAGGUCCAAGGGACACAGCAAUGAUUAGAGAGCCUGCUGGGAGCGAACAGCCUCUGGCUGCAUAGGGACCUGUGGACUUACUGUCUGGUGCCCCCAUGGAGACAGGGGGCCCUGGGUUGAACAAUAUGAAGCCCCGGUCACUGCAGCUGGUGCUGGAGGAGCAAGUGCUGGCGCUACAGCAGCAGAUGGCAGAGAACCAAGCAGCCUCCUGGCGGAAGCUGAAGAGCUCCCAGGAGGCUCAGCAGAGGCAAGCAACCCUCGUGAGGAAGCUGCAGGCCAAGGUGUUGCAGUACCGGAGCUGGUGCCAAGAGCUGGAGAAGCGGCUGGAAGCCACUGGGGGACCGGUCCUUCAGAGGUGGGAAGGUGUGGAAGAGCCAAACCUGGAACAGCUGCUAACUCGAUUGGAGGAGGAGCAACAGAGGUGUGAGAGUCUAGCGGAGGUGAACACCCAGCUUCGGCUGCACAUGGAAAAAGCUGACGUGGUGAAUAAAGCCCUUCGGGAAGAUAUGGAAAAAUUGACAGUAGACUGGAGCCGGGCCCGCGAUGAGCUAAUGAGGAAGGAGAGCCAGUGGCAGAUGGAGCAGGAGUUCUUCAAGGGCUACCUGAAAGGGGAGCACGGUCGCCUUCUCAGUCUGUGGCGGGAGGUGGUGACCUUUCGUCGCCACUUCCUGGAAAUGAAGUCAGCCACUGACAGAGACCUGACGGAGCUCAAGGCUGAGCAUGUGAGGCUUUCAGGUUCCCUGUUGACCUGUUGUCUGCGCCUGACUAUGGGAACACCACAGUCUCGGGAAUCUGGUGGAUCUGGUAGACUGAAUGGGAGCGAGCCAUCCCAGUUGAUGCUGCUACUAGCCAGGACCCAGGAGCUGGAGAAGGAAGCCCAUGAAAGGAGUCAGGAGUUAACACAGCUGAAGAGUCAAGGGCAUCUGGAGAAGGCUGAGCUCCAGGAUCGGGUGACCGAGCUCUCUGCUCUACUGACCCAGUCUCAGAAGCAAAAUGAAGAUUAUGAAAAGAUGGUAAAUGCUCUGAGAGAGACGAUGGAGAUCCUGGAGGCAAAUCACGCAGAAUUAAUGGAACACGAGGCAUCUCUAAGUAGGAAUGCCCAAGAGGAGAAGCUGUCUUUACAGCAAAUGAUCAAGGACAUAACCCAGGCCAUGGUAGAAGAAGAGGACAAUAUGGCCCAAGGCUCUGGUCAUGAGAGCUCCUUGGAGUUGGACCCUAGUGGCUUCUCCUCCCAGUUCGAUUCCCAGCAGCCAGACAAGGCUCUUUCUCUGGUGCGUUCAGUGCUGACUCAGAGACGCCAGGCUGUGCAGGACCUAAGGCAGCAGCUGUCAGGCUGCCAGGAAGCUGUGAGCUCCUUGCAGCAGCAGCAUCAUCAGUGGGAGGAAGAGGGUGAGGCCCUGAGACAGCGACUACAGCAGCUCACCGGGGAGCGGGACACCCUGGCAGGGCAGACUGUGGACCUGCAGGGGGAGGUGGACUCUCUCAGCAGGGAGCGAGAGCUCCUGCAGAAGACCAGGGGGGAGCUGCAGCAGCAGCUGGAGGUGCUGGAGCAGGAGGCGUGGCGACUGCGGAGGACAAACAUGGAGCUGCAGCUGCAGGGCGACUCUGCUCAGGGCGAGAAGGAGGAGCAGCAGGAGGAGCUGCACCUGGCCGUCCGGGAACGGCAGCGCCUUCAGGAGAUGCUGGCGGGCCUGGAAGCCAAACAGUCAGAGUCACUCAGUGAACUGAUCACCCUUCGGGAAGCCCUGGAGUCCAGUCGCCUGGAAGGGGAGUUGCUGAGACAAGAGCAAACAGAAGUGACCGCCGCACUGGCCAGGGCAGAACAGUCUAUUGUGGAGCUGUCAAGUUCUGAGAACAGCCUGAAGGCUGAGGUAGCUGAUCUUCGGGCUGCAGCUGUCAAACUCAGUGCCUUAAAUGAGGCUUUGGCCUUAGAUAAAGUUGGGCUGAACCAGCAGCUUCUCCAGUUAGAACAGGAGAACCAGUCUGUGUGCAGGAGGAUGGAAGCAGCAGAGCAGGCGAGAAACACUUUGCAGGUGGGCCUGACAGAGGCCGAGAGGAACAGGGAAGCCCUGUGGGAAAAGAACACCCACCUGGAGGCUCAGCUGCAGAAAGCGGAGGAGACCAGGGCUGAGCUGCAGGCAGAUCUCAGGGAAAUGCAAGACGAGAAGGAAGAAAUUCAAGAGAAACUAAGCGAGGCACAUCACCAGCAGGAGGCAGCCUUAGCUCGGGUGGAGCAGCUGCAUCAGGAGGCAAAGCGACAGGAAGAGGCGCUUGCCCGGGAAGUCCAGGAGAAGGAGGCUCUAGCGCGGGAAAAGGCAGCUCUCGAGGUGCGGCUGCAGGCUGUGGAGCGGGACCGGCAGGACCUCUCUGAACAACUGCUGGGGCUCAGCUCAGCCAAGGAGCUACUGGAGAGCAGUCUGUUUGAGGCCCAGCAACAAAAUUCUCUGAUAGAGGUCACCAAGGGGCAGCUGGAGGUCCAGAUCCAAACCGUCACUCAAGCCAAGGAAGUAAUCCAAGGGGAAGUGAGGUGCCUGCAGCUGGAACUGGACGCUGAACGGAGCCGGGCAGAGCAGGCACGGGAUGCGGCAGCCAGACAGCUGGCCCAGGCUGAGCAAGAGGAGCAGGCUGUCCUGCAGCAGCUGAAGUCAGCCCAUGAGGAGGAGGUGAACCGGCUCCAGGAGAAAUGGGAGAGAGAGCACUCCUGGCACCAGCAGGAACUGGAUAAGGCUCUGGAGAGCCUGGAGAGGGAGAAAAUGGAGCUGGAAACGAGGCUGAGGGAACAGCAGGCAGAAGCGGAGGCCAUGCGGACACAGAGGGCAGAAGAACAGGCCGAGGCCGAGAGCGCCCUGUGCCAGAUGCAGCUUGAAACAGAGAAGGAGAGGGUGUCCCUCCUGGAGACACUGCUGCAGACCCAGAAGGAGCUGGCAGAUGCCAGCCAACAACUGGAGCGGCUGAGGCAGGACAUGAAGGUUCAGAAGUUAAAGGAGCAGGAGACCACUGGGAUGCUGCAGACCCAGCUCCAGGAGGCUCAGCGGGAGCUGGAGCAGGCAGCCCAGCAGCACAGAGACAGCCUUGCUGCCCUCCAGGAAGAGGGUGGCACGCUGCUGCAGGAUAAGAUAGACCUGCAGAAGCAGGUGGAGGACUUGAAGUCUCAGCUGGUUUCCAAGGAAGACUGCCAGAGGUUGGUGGACCAGGAGGUUCAGGAGAAGCUGAGAGAGGCCCAGGAGUGUAGCCGAAUUCAGAAGGAGCUGGAGAGAGAGAAAGCCAGCCUGACUCUGUCGCUGGCGGAAAAGGAACAGAGACUCCUUGUUUUACAAGAGGCUGACUCUGUUCGACAGCAAGAGCUGAGCUCCUUGAGCCAGGACAUGCAGGAGGCCCAGGCAGGGCAGAAAGAGCUCAGCGCCCAGGUGGAAUUACUGAAGCAGGAGGUGAAGGAAAAGGAGGCUGACUUUCUGGCCCAGGAAGCACAGCUGCUGGAGGAGCUAGAGGCAGCUCGAGUAACAGAACAGCAGCUACGAGCUUCCUUGUGGACCCAGGAAACCAAGGCAGCCCAACUACAGCUGCGACUGCGCAGCGCGGAGAGCCAGCUGGAGGCCCUGUCAGUGGGACAGCAGCCUGGGCACCAGGCCCAGGUCCAGCUGGCCAGCCUCUGUUCUGUCUUGCAGCAGGCCCUGGGGUCUCCUUAUGAGAGCGGGCUUGAGCUGAGUGGUGGGGGAGACUCGGCUUCCUCCCUCUGGGGCCCUGAGCCAGAUCAGAAUGGAACUAGGAUCCUCUUUAAGAGAUGGCCCCUCCAGACGGCUCUCUCAGCCGAGGCGGUGGCGUCUGCCCUCCAGAAGCUUCACCAAGACCUGUGGAAGACGCAGCGGGCCCGGGAUGAUCUGAGGGAUCAGGCCCGGAAGCUGGAACAGCGUCUCACUGAUACAGAGGCUGAGAAGAACCAGAUCCACACAGAGUUGCAGGCUCUGCAGAGACAGCUCUCCCAGAACCAAGAAGAGAAAUCCAAGUGGGAAGGAAAACAGAACUCCCUAGAAUCUGAGCUGACGGAGCUACGUGAAACUGUGACAUCCUUCCAGAGUCGCCUACGGCAAGCAGAGCUCCAGGGAAUAGAAGCCCAGAAUGAGCGAGAGUUACUGCAGGCAGCCAAGGAGAACCUGACUGCCCAGGUGGAACAUCUCCAAGCAUCUGUGGCAGAAGCCAGGGCUCAGGCAAGCGCUGCCGGGGUCCUGGAGGAAGACCUGAGAACUGUGCGCUCAGCACUGAAACUGAAAAACGAGGAGGUGGAGAGUGAGCGUGAGCGAGCCCAGGCCCUGCAGGAGCAGGGCAAGCUGAAGGUGGCCCAGGGGAAGGCUUUGCAGGAGAAUCUGGCUCGCCUGGCCCAGACCCUGUCUGAAAGAGAAGAGGAGGUGGAGACUCUGCAGGGAAAAAUCCAGGCGCUGGAGAAGCAACGGGAAAUGCAGAAGGCUGCUUUGGAAGUGCUGUCUCUGGACCUGAAGAAGAGGACCCAAGAGGUGGAUGUGCAGCGAGAACAGAUUCGGGAGCUGGAGGAGUGUAAGUCUGUUCUAGAGCAUCUGCCCACGGCCGUCCAGGAGCAAGAGCAGAAGCUGACUCUGCAGAGGGAGCAGAUCAAGGAGCUUGAGAAGGACCAGGAGGCGCAGAGGAACAUCUUGGAGCAUCAGCUUCUGGAACUUGAGAAGAAGGCCCAAGUGAUUGAGUCCCAGAAAGGACAGAUUCAGGACCUGAAGAAGCAGCUGGUUACAAUGGAACGCCUGGCCCUGGAGCUAGAGGAAAACCGUCACAAAGUGGAAUGCCAGCAAAAGGCGAUCGAGGAGCUGGAGGGCCAGAGGGAAAUGCAGAGGGUGGCUCUGACCCACCUUACACUGGACCUGGAGGAAAGGAGCCAGGAGCUGCAGGUGCAGGGCAGCCAGAUCCAGGAGCUGGAGAGCCAGAGCACCCUCUUGGCAAGAGAGCUCCAGGAGAAGGACCAGGAGGUGACGUCCCAGCAAGACCAGAUCAAGGAGCUGCAGAGACAGAAAGAGCAUCUGACUCAGGACCUGGAGAGGAGGGAGCAGGAGAUGGUGCUGCUGAAGGAAAGGAUUCAGGUCCUGGAAGAUCAGAGGACCCUGCAGACCAAGAUCCUGGAGGAGGACCUGGAGCAGAUCAAGCUGUCCCUGAGAGAGCGAGGCCGGGAGCUGGCCUCUCAGAGGCAGCUGAUGCAGGAGCGGGCAGAGGAAGGGAAGGGCCAGAGUAAAGCUCAGCGAGGGAGCCUGGAGCACAUGAAGCUGAUCCUGCGUGAUAAGGAGAAGGAGUUGGAAUGCCAGCAGGAGCGUGUCCAGGAACUUCAGGAGCGCAAGGACCAGCUGGAGCAGCAGCUGCAGGGCCUACACAGGAAGGUGGGUGAGACCAGCCUACUCCUGACCCAGCGGGAGCAGGAGGUCGUGGUCCUGCAGCGGCACCUGCAGGAAGCCAGGGAGCAGGGGGAGCUGAAAGAGCAGGCACUUCAGGGCCAGCUGGACGAGGCCCAGAGGACGCUGGCCCGGAGUGCCCGGGAGCUCGAGGCCCUGCAGCACCAGCAGCAGCAGGCCCAGGGCCAGGAGGGGAACGCGAAGGAACAGGCGGGCUCACUGCAGCGAGCUCUGGAGCAGGCCCGCGCCACACUGAAGGAGUGCCAGGCUGAGCUUGAGGACGACAAGGAACAGGCGCGGAGGCUCCAGCAAGAGCUGGCGGUGGAGGGACAGCGGGUCCAGGCCCUGGAGGAGGUGCUGGGUGACCUAAGGGCCGAGUCUCGGGAGCAGGAGAAGGCUCUGCUGGCCCUCCAGCAGCAGUGCGCCGAGCGGGCCCAGGAGCAUGCGGCGGAGGCCAGGACCCUGCGGGACAGCUGGCUGCAGGCAGAGGUGAUGCUCCAGGAACGGGACCGGGAGCUGGAGGCCCUACGGGCAGAUGGCCAGUCCUCCCAGUGUCGCGAGGAGGCUGCCUGGGGCCAGGCUGAGGCUCUGCAGGAGGCCCUCAGCAAGGCUCAGGCCGCCCUGCAGGAGAAAGAGCAGCAUCUCCUUGGGCAGGCGGAGCUGAGCCGCAGCCUGGAGGCCAGCACGGCCACCUUGCAGGCUGCCCUGGACUCCUGCCAGGCACAAGCCCGGCAGCUGGAGGAGGCCCUGAGGAAGCGGGACGGUGAGAUCAAGGACCAGGACCUCCAACACCAGGAGGCCGUGCGGCAGCUCCAGGAGGCACUUGCCCAGAGGGAUGAAGAGCUGAGACACCAGAGGAGGCAGGGACAGCUGCUGGAGAAGCCUCUGGCCCAGCGGGGCCGAGAGGAUGCGACCCAAGAGAAGCAGGAGCCGAGGCACGAGAGAGAAGAGGAAGAGACGAGGGGCCUUCGUGAGAGCCUGAGGGAGCUACGGUGGACUCUAGCCCAAAAGGAAGAGGAGAUCCUGGAGCUGAGGGAGGCCCAGCCAAGGAAGGGUCUGGAGGACUCGCCCCCCAGCCACAGAGCCUCCCCAGGGGAGGAGCCGUCUUCCACCCUUGAUUCCUCAGGGCCCAGGCUGCAGCGGGAGCUGGUGCGACUACAGGUGGCCCUGAGGCAGACGGAGGCUAGGGAGAUCGAGUGGAGGGAGAAGGCCCAGGACCUGGCGCUGUCCCUGGCCCAGAGCAAGCCCAGCAUCAGCAGUCUGCAGGAGGUAGCCCUGUUCCUGCAAGCCUCUGUCCUGGAGCGGGACUCGGAACAGCAGAGGCUGCAGGAUGAGUUGGAGCUCAGCAGACAAGCUCUGGAGAAGGAGCGACUCCACAACCCAGGCCUGACCAGCCGAGCAGAACGGGGGCCCAGAGGAGACCCCGGCGCCCAGCUGGGAGAGGUCUCGGGGGCGAAAACUGAGCCGAGUCCUGAGCUGGAGGAGAAGCAGCUCUGGGAGCAGAGGCUUGAACACCUGCAGCGAGCAGUGGCGCGGCUGGAGGUUGACCGAAGCCGACUGCAGCACCACAAUGCCCAGCUGCGGACCACCCUGGAGCAGGUGGAGCGAGAGCGGAGGAAACUAAAGAGGGAUUCCCUGCGAGCAUCGCGGGCGGGCGUCCUGGAGGGCAGUGAAGCCACGGCACCAUCACCCACCCAGCAGGAUGGAAGAGGAGGACAGAAGGGCUCCUCAGAUGCCAGGCACAUGGCUGAACUGCAGAAAGAGGUGGCCCUGCUGCGAGCCCAGCUGGCCCUGGAGCGGAAGCAGAAGCAGGACUACAUCGCCCGCUCAGUGCAGACGAGCCGCGAGCUGGCGGGCCUGCACCACAGCCUCUCUCACUCCCUCCUCGCCGUGGCCCAGGCCCCCGAGGCCACUGUCCUGGAGGCCGAGACCCGGAAGCUAGAUGAGUCCCUGACUCAAAGCCUGACAUCCCCUGGGCCGGUCCUGCUGUGCCCCAGCCCCAGCGCUGCUCAAGGCGCCUCCAGGUAGCAGCUGCAGCGAGGGCAGGACACGGGCCAGCCAGGGAGCACACAGACAGACAGAUGGCCGUAGAGCGGGUUGUGGCCCCUCCACACAGCUGCUGUUUGCCAAAGAAAAUUCUGACUCCGUUACCCAGCCUGGGAGCCCCAGGGGACACGGAUUCAAUCCCUGGUCCGGGAAGAUCCCACAUGCCGCAGAGCAGCUAAGCCCGUGUGCCACAACUACUGAGCCUGUGCCCUAGAGCCCGUGAGCCACAACUACUGAAGCCCGCGAGCCACAACUACUGAAGCCUGCGUGCCUAGAGCCCGUGCUCCACAACAAGAGAAGCCACCGCAAUGAGAAGCCCGCACACCACAACGAGACAAAGACCACGUGCAACAACGAAGACCCAACACAGCCAAAAAAUAAAUAAAAAAUAAUGAUAAUAAAAAUUUUAAAAAUAAAAUAA